UACGAAGGGGGCUAGCGUUGCUCGGAAUCACUGGGCGUAAAGGGUGCGUAGGCGGGUCUUUAAGUCAGGGGUGAAAUCCUGGAGCUCAACUCCAGAACUGCCUUUGAUACUGAGGAUCUUGAGUUCGGGAGAGGUGAGUGGAACUGCGAGUGUAGAGGUGAAAUUCGUAGAUAUUCGCAAGAACACCAGUGGCGAAGGCGGCUUCCUGGUCUGCAACUGACGCUGUGGCGCGAAAGCUAGGGGAGCAAACGGG
rnacentral:rRNA from 1 species